UGAACGCUGGCGGCAGGCCUAAUACAUGCAAGUCGAACGGCAGCACAGUGGAGCUUGCUCCAUGGGUGGCGAGUGGCGGACGGGUGAGGAAUACAUGGGAAUCUGCCCAGUCGUGGGGGAUAACGUAGGGAAACUUACGCUAAUACCGCAUGCGCCCUUCGGGGGAAAGCCGGGGACCGUAAGGCCUGGCGCGAUUGGAUGAGCCCAUGUCGGAUUAGCUAGUUGGCGGGUAACGGCCCACCAAGGCGACGAUCCGUAGCUGGUCUGAGAGGAUGAUCAGCCACACUGGAACUGAGACACGGUCCAGACUCCUACGGGAGGCAGCAGUAGGGAAUAUUGGACAAUGGGCGCAAGCCUGAUCCAGCCAUGCCGCGUGAGUGAAGAAGGCCCUCGGGUUGUAAAGCUCUUUUGUCCGGAAAGAAAAGCACUGGGUUAAUACCCCGGUGUCCUGACGGUACCGGAAGAAUAAGCACCGGCUAACUUCGUG
rnacentral:rRNA from 1 species